rnacentral:rRNA from 1 species
UACAGAGGUCUCAAGCGUUGUUCGGAUUCAUUGGGCGUAAAGGGUGCGUAGGUGGCUCCAUAAGUCGGGUGUGAAAUCUCGGGGCUUAACUCCGAAACUGCAUUCGAUACUGUGGUGCUUGAGGACUGGAGAGGAGACUGGAAUUCAUGGUGUAGCAGUGAAAUGCGUAGAGAUCAUGAGGAAGACCAGUGGCGAAGGCGGGUCUCUGGACAGUUCCUGACACUGAGACACGAAGGCCAGGGGAGCAAACGGG